rnacentral:tRNA from 1 species
UAAGACUUGCAAGUGUUACCUCACAUCUCUUGAGUGCAAAUCAAGUGCUUUAAUUAAGCUAAAAUCUU